CCUACGGGAGGCAGCAGUGGGGAAUUUUGGACAAUGGGCGCAAGCCUGAUCCAGCAAUGCCGCGUGCAGGAUGAGGGCCUUCGGGUUGUAAACUGCUUUUGUACGGAACGAAACGGCGAGCUCUAAUAAAGUUCGCUAAUGACGGUACCGUAAGAAUAAGCACCGGCUAACUACGUGCCAGCAGCCGCGGUAAUACGUAGGGUGCAAGCGUUAAUCGGAAUUACUGGGCGUAAAGCGUGCGCAGGCGGUGAUGUAAGACAGAUGUGAAAUCCCCGGGCUCAACCUGGGACCUGCAUUUGUGACUGCAUCGCUAGAGUACGGUAGAGGGGGAUGGAAUUCCGCGUGUAGCAGUGAAAUGCGUAGAUAUGCGGAGGAACACCGAUGGCGAAGGCAAUCCCCUGGACCUGUACUGACGCUCAUGCACGAAAGCGUGGGGAGCAAACAGGAUUAGAUACCCUGGUAGUCCACGCCCUAAACGAUGUCAACUGGUUGUUGGGUCUUCACUGACUCAGUAACGAAGCUAAACGCGUGAAGUUGACCGCCUGGGGAGUACGGCCGCAAGGUUGAAACUCAAAUGAAAUUGACGG
rnacentral:rRNA from 1 species